rnacentral:lncRNA from 1 species
UUCCAUUCAUUUACUAUUCUCUCACCUUCCAGAGAAUUCUAAAAGCUCUGCCUUCUCUCUACUUUCUCUCUUUAGAUUUUCUAGGGUUUCUCGGUCUAAUAUGAAUAUUUACAUGGUAUCAGAGCCUCGACGACGAUCCGACUAUGUUUCUAUGUACUUCUUUGUCUUGGAUGAAGUCUGUUUCGAGGUUUUGGGGGUGUUUUCUGAGACCUCACUGUCGAUGAAGAUUCCGACCUAUCAAACACCUUUCUGAGUCUUUCAUCGUGAUAUCGGAGUGGUCUGUUUCAAGGUUUUGGGGGUGUUUUCUGAGACCUCACGGUCGAUGAAGAUUCCGAGCUAUACACCUUUCUGAGUCUUUCAUCCUGAUAUUGGAGUGUAUUUUCUUCUCCUGAACAUUCUGGAAGGUUUUGUGAUGAUUUUUGGUUGAUUUUUGGGUGACCUAUCGGC